rnacentral:tRNA from 1 species
AGUAAGAUGGCUGAGAUUUAAGCGAUAAAUUGUAAAUUUAUUUACGGAAUUAGUUCCUUUUACUA